rnacentral:rRNA from 1 species
GAAUAUUGGUCAAUGGACGCAAGUCUGAACCAGCCAUGCCGCGUGCAGGAUGACGGUCCUAUGGAUUGUAAACUGCUUUUGUACGGGAAGAAACCCCUCUACGUGUAGAGGGCUGACGGUACCGUAAGAAUAAGGAUCGGCUAACUCCGUGCCAGCAGCCGCGGUAAUACGGAGGAUCCAAGCGUUAUCCGGAAUCAUUGGGUUUAAAGGGUCCGUAGGCGGCUUUAUAAGUCAGUGGUGAAAUCCGGCAGCUCAACUGUCGAACUGCCUCUGAUACUGUAGAGCUUGAAUUACUGUGAAGUAACUAGAAUAUGUAGUGUAGCGGUGAAAUGCUUAGAUAUUACAUGGAAUACCAAUUGCGAAGGCAGGUUACUAACAUUAUAUUGACGCUGAUGGACGAAAGCGUGGGGAGCGAACAGG